rnacentral:rRNA from 1 species
AUGCAAGUCGAACGAGAGAAGAGAAGCUUGCUUUUCUGAUCUAGUGGCGGACGGGUGAGUAACACGUGAGCAAUCUGCCUUUCAGAGGGGGAUACCGAUUGGAAACGAUCGUUAAUACCGCAUAAUAUAAUUGAACCGCAUGAUUUGAUUAUCAAAGAUUUAUCGCUGAAAGAUGAGCUCGCGUCUGAUUAGCUAGUUGGUAAGGUAACGGCUUACCAAGGCGACGAUCAGUAGCCGGACUGAGAGGUUGAUCGGCCACAUUGGGACUGAGACACGGCCCAGACUCCUACGGGAGGCAGCAGUGGGGAAUAUUGCACAAUGGAGGAAACUCUGAUGCAGCGAUGCCGCGUGAGGGAAGAAGGUUUUAGGAUUGUAAACCUCUGUCUUCAGGGACGAAAAAAGACGGUACCUAAGGAGGAAGCUCCGGCUAACUACGUGCCAGCAGCCGCGGUAAUAC